UUUGUAUUAAAGAAUUAAAUGGAUGAAAUAUGAAGUUUUAUUAAAAGAAAAAGGGGUGAAAAGAACAAAGUUUUGUCCAUCUUUGUUCAUCAUAGCUGAAAGUUAGAGAAGAGAAAGGAGAGGAGAAAGCUCUUGAGUAUUUGGUCAUUAGGAGGAGGAAAAUUGAAGGAAAUCCCCAACCAUAGUGGGCUUGGAGCUGUGAGGGAAUUCGGAGUGGCCACUCGUUUUGAAAGUUUGAUUUUCUUCUGGUGAACUGGACAUCCUUUAAUUUACGUUUGAAGUUUUAGGUUUUUAAAUGUAAUAAGGCCGCUUAAUUAUUUUUGAUGGUUUUAAUAUGUAUUAGGUAAUACUUAUUUUAA